GACGAACGCUGGCGGCGUGCCUAAUACAUGCAAGUAGAACGCUGAAGAGAGGAGCUUGCUCUUCUUGGAUGAGUUGCGAACGGGUGAGUAACGCGUAGGUAACCUGCCUUGUAGCGGGGGAUAACUAUUGGAAACGAUAGCUAAUACCGCAUAACAAUGGAUGACACAUGUCUUUUAUUUGAAAGGGGCAAUUGCUCCACUACAAGAUGGACCUGCGUUGUAUUAGCUAGUAGGUGAGGUAAUGGCUCACCUAGGCGACGAUACAUAGCCGACCUGAGAGGGUGGUCGGCCACACUGGGACUGAGACACGGCCCAGACUCCUACGGGAGGCAGCAGUAGGGAAUCUUCGGCAAUGGGGGCAACCCCGACCGAGCAACGCCGCGUGAGUGAAGAAGGUUUUCGGAUCGUAAAGCUCUGUUGUAAGUCAAGAACGGGUGUGAGAGUGGAAAGUUCACACUGUGACGGUAGCUUACCAGAAAGGGACGGCUAACUACGUG
rnacentral:rRNA from 1 species